AACGAGGAGGAGGAGGACGAGGAUUUCUGCAUAGUAUAACCCGAGAUGGUGAGCGGUGGUUGGAGGUGGUCGGAGGUGGACAAGGAGGAGGACGAGCAAGAAGAGGAGAGCAAGGUGGACGAGGAGGACGAGGAUUUGUGCUCGGUAUAACCCGUGGGGGUUAGCGGUGGUUGUUGGAUGUGGUUAGCGGUGGUUGGAGGUGGUCAGAGGUGGACGAGGAGGAGGACGAGAAUGACGAGGAGAACCAGAUGGAGGAGGAGGACAAGGAUUUGUGCUCGGU
rnacentral:lncRNA from 1 species